UUCGCCGGUUAAACCUCCCGCGUUCCCUGCCUCUUCUCUCUCCUCCUCCUCCUCUUCUGAUGGUGGCUAUGGCCACAGUUGUAGCCUCGCCUUCUUGCUCUUCCCCCUCUUUCUCCUUUACCCACUCCAUUUCCUCGUCUCGGAGGUCGACGUUCGCCUGCUGCCAUCGACUUCCGCGGUCCCGAAAGCAAUGUCUUCGAAGUGGCGCUUCUUCCCGAGGAAACGGCGAUGAGCCUGAAGGGGUUUUUCACAAGAGAUAUCCAGAGAGAGGGAACGAUGAGAGGGCGUAUCUGCUGCCUGAUGGGGGUGGAGGAAAGGUGGUGUUCGAAUCGGCCGGAGUGCAGAAGAAGGACAAGGGUCUGGUGUAUAAUCUCAAGGAACAUCAGAUGGUCCAAAAUUGGAGAUGGAACAAGAAGAGGAUUGAUGAUGAGGGGGUUGCGGCAUUAAUACAAGCACUGGGCCAGGAAAAGAUGCCUGAAGUUGCUCCGAAACUCCUCAUUGAUUUGAAGUCCAAAGGUUUCGUGCCUGGCCGUGCCACCCUUUCAUCUUUGGUGCUUUGUUAUGCAAAAAAUGGUCUCUUUCGACAAGCUAAGGCCAUGUGGAGCGAGAUCAUAAAUAGUUCAUUCGUACCCAGCAUUGAGGUUGUUUCAGGUCUAAUGGAUGCCUAUGCUAUGAUGGGGCACUUUGAUGAGAUAUCCACAAUUGUUCAUGAGACUGCCUCCCGACAAGAUUUUGACUUCUCAAAUGAGGUUUAUUCAUUAGCAGUCUCUUGCUUUGGGAAAUCUGGACAACUUGAAUUGAUGGAGGCGAUGGUAAAAGAGAUGGUUUUGAGGGGUUUUAAGGUUGAUUCCAUGACCGGGAAUGCUUUUGUCAAGUACUAUAGUUUGUUUGGUUCGAUAGAAGAGAUGGAAGCCGCAUAUGGGCGCAUGAAGAAGUCAAGAAUUCUUAUAGAGAAAGAAGCAAUACGGGCGAUGGCAUCUGCUUAUAUAAGUGAGAGGAGGUUUUACAAAUUAGGUGAGUUUUUGAGGGGUGUGGGUCUUGGCAGACGUAAUGUGGGCAAUCUUCUGUGGAACCUACUCUUGUUGUCUUAUGCUGCCAAUUUCAAAAUGAAAAGCCUGCAGCGAGAAUUUAUAAGCAUGGUGGGUGCUGGCUUUUCACCUGAUCUCACUACCUUCAAUAUACGAGCUUUGGCAUAUUCAAGGAUGUGCAUGUUCUGGGAUCUCCAUCUAAGCAUUGAACACAUGAAGCAUGAGGGUGUCAUCCCGGAUCUUGUGACAUAUGGUUGCCUUGUUGAUGCUUACUUGGAGAGAAGGCUUGGAAGGAACCUAUCUUUUGCUUUAGACAAAAUGAAUGCUGAGAGUGCUCCAGUGAUGUUAACUGAUCCGCUGGUGUUUGAGGCCCUUGGGAAGGGGGAUUUCCAUUCAAGCUCAGAGGCCCUGCUAGAGUCCACAAGGCAGAGGGGAUGGACUUAUUCCAACCUAGUAUCGAUAUACCUGAGAAAACAAUAUAGGAGCAACCAAAUCUUUUGGAAUUACUGAUUAUUUGCAUGCCUUCACGGACUUCAGCAUGGGAAAAGAAAAGAACAAUAAUACUGAAGAAGGGAACAUGCACGAUUCUUGUGAUGGCUAAUUUGAAAUUGUGGCAUUAUAACAAACACCUAGGUUUUGUAAGACUCCAUACUCUGACAUUGGAACUCUCUGCGAGAUAGGAUGAAGAGCUUUCUUGAACUCCUGCAACUUAGGUGUGGUGUUGCUCAGGCUCUUAAGCAUAUUAAUAUUUUGGAUCAUCGGGUUUUCUAAUGAUUUAGCGGAGCUUGGUAUAAUUCAAGAAGGAUUCUACAUGAAAGUUAAGACUGUUUUGCAACCACUGGUGCAUCUAGUACCAUAUCACAUUGAAGUGGGCAGGCUUCAGGUCUUGUGUGCCUUCCACUGUCAGGACCAUUUAUAGAGGAUAUUGUUUCUUUCUUCCUACAAAAAAUCAACUCCAUGAUUUUUGAUUAUUCUUCUUUCCUUGUAUGUUCUACGGCUUAGCAAAUGUGGCGAAUAUUGAAUAUGAAGAUAUCGGCAAUCAACAAGUAAACCUCUCUCAAUUUCAUUAGUUGCUGCACUACUGAUCAAUUAUCAUAUCAUCUACUGUAAUAUGAGUGAACUAAUGAUCGCUAUAGGUUUUGCGGCUUAAUGGAACUCGAAUAAAGAAUAUCCGGCAUCUCGCUCAUCUUGCUGGCUAUGAGUGCCAUCGUGUUAUAUGUUAAAAGGUUUUUUUUUACCCUCUGUUUGGUAUGAAGGAUGGAUUGAA